CGAAGAUGGCGGUGGAUAAGGAGCUGCUGGAGCGGGAUCUCUAUGGGCUGCUGGGGAUCGGCGAGAAGGCGUCCGAGAAGGAGGUGAAGACAGCGUUCCGGCAGAAAGCCCUCACCUGCCACCCGGACAAGAACCCCGACAACCCCCGGGCAGCGGAAAUUUUCCACCAGCUGUCCCAGGCCUUGGCCGUGCUCACAGAUGCAGCAGCCAGGGCAGCCUAUGACAGGGUGAGGAGGGCGAAGAAGGAGGCUGCAGCAAGGACACAGAAACUCGAUGAGAAGAGGAAGAAAGUAAAGCUUGAUCUUGAAGCCAGGGAACGGGAAGCCCAGUCCCAGGAGAACGAAGAGGAGGAGAUCAGGAUAACCAGAUCAUUAGAAGAAGAAAUAAUCCGCCUGCGGGAGGAGGGCUCCCGGCAGCUGGAGGAGCAGCAGAGACUGGUCAGGGAGCAGAUCCGCCUGGAAAGGGAGCGGCACAGCCGAGGCAAGGAGGAAAGAAAUGGAGCAGAAGGCAAAAUAACUCCUAAGCUCAAGCUCAGGUGGAAAUGUAGGAAGGAAGAUGAGACUGGAGGGGGAUACUCCAAAGAUGUGCUGCUGCAGAUCCUGCAAAAGUAUGGUGAUGUGCUCAAUUUGUUGAUCUCCAGCAGGAAGACUGGGAGCGCAGUGGUGGAAUUUGCCACGGUGAAGGCAGCUGAGAUGGCUGUGAAGAAUGAAGUUGGUCUGCUAAAUAACCCCCUGAAGAUUUCCUGGCUGGAGGGCCAGCCCCAGAGCCGCCCCAGCACCGUCCUCCCUGACAGCACCAGCCAGCCCAGGAGCUCACAGCUGGGAGCUCAGUGCAUGCGUGAGGCAGCAGUGUCAGAGACAUCUCUUCUCCUGCCAGGAGGAUAAAUCCACUGCUGGUGCUGUAUCAGGAGCCUACUUGGAUGCUUACCUGUUUCCAGGCUGGGAGUGCCACCUGCACUGGAGUUAAGGGAAAAGAAACCCACAAAGAGGAAGAGAAAAAACGGAGGAACAGCUUUGAGCUUUCACAUCCAAACAUGGUGGGAGGAGAAGCCCCAGUUCCCGUCUCUCAGCCCUCAAAGCUUUGGCUUCGGGGCGCAGUGCUGCUGCCUCCUUGCAGGCUGCCUGCUGUUCCACAAGUGAUCCAUGCCAAAUCCCUGUGUGUCCCUGCCCCACAGUGUCACAUCCCCAAAAUAAGUCUUUCCCAAAAAAUGCCAGUCUUCCCUGAGGAUGGGAUGCGCAGUCCGGAGUGGGAAAUUCCCAGGGUGGAGAGCGGAAAGUUGGCCAUGAGACAGCAGACGGUGCUCUCACCUGAGCACAGAGCCCGUGAGCUCUGCUCCAGAGGAUUCCUUGGCAAGGACAGGGAUGCUCUGUGGUGGGUGAGGCAAGGACAACAAAACAGGCCACACACGACAGGCAUGCUCCAGUAUCCUUCCUCCUGCUGGAACGGGAGGAACUGGCAGCAGCAGUGAGUAACUGGGAUGUGAUGGACAGUGAAUACCUUCAAAUGGCGUAAUCCCUCGGGUUCUGUUUCCUGAGGGUCUGCAGCACAUCCUCGAGGAGAGAUAGCCCCAAAUCCACUUUGAAGGACAGGAAGGGGUCAGCCAGCUCAGGAAGAGUAGUGCUGUUUGGGAGACCUGCCUCUGAGGUGCCGUGGUCCGUAGCCUGGUCCUUGUGCGUGGGAGUGCCUUUGUGGUACGGAGCAGUCUCGGAAAAGGAGAGGUCGGAGUGGGAAUCUGUGUGGUCGAUGAUGUUGGGGCAGCUGGAACUGUCCAGGUACAGCCGGGGAGGCUUGGGAGGGGCUUGUGCCUUGGCCAGGUUCUGCUCGCUCUGACAGGACAGGUACUCAGACUUGUCCUUCAGAUCCCUCAAGCAUUCCCUCUUCUGGCCGUCCGUGUCCAGAGUGUGGCUGUUCUGGUUCAGGAUGAUGACUUGGUUGCCCAGCUUUUUGUGCCUCCUGAGGGAGAAGCGUCGGAAGAAGGUGGUGGACUUGAGGGACCCCCUGCGCCAAGUAUCCAUGGUGAGGAAAGGCAGCGAGGAGCAGGAAUGCUGGCUCCUUGCAGGCAGAAGCCCAGGGAUCAGCAGAGAGCCACACAACAGGAUCAACCUCUUCCUGCCCCGUUCCUGGAGCUGCAAGCAGCACAGAGAGGCUGGUAGUGCAGGAAAUGCAAACUCCACGCUGUGGCAAGGAGCACUUGGCUUGUCUCGGAUCUGAAGGAGUCUCCCCCUGGAGUGGAGAGGAGCGGCGGCGUGUGAGCGAGCUCGUUAAACGUGUGCUGCGGCUCCGGGCUGGUGGGGAACAGCAGAGGCACAGUCACCAUGAGAACAGAUCUAAUCUGGCAUCUAGAACAGAAGGGCACUCGGGUGCCAUGGUAACCAGGCACCUUCUGCGGAGGGGCACCGCCGGAAAAGCGCCGUGGGUGGCUGGGAACGAGACGGUGACUCAGUCCCACCGAAGGAACCCAGGGAAUACGGGAGAAGGGGGAUGCAGAAAGCAACAGUGCAGGAGACAACGUUGGGAGAACGGAGUGCAGGAGAGACUUACACCUUGUUGGAGCAGCCCGGAGUCCUGGAGUGGAGAGGAGAAGCUGCUGGAGCACUCAGAGACCAGGAUGAAGAAUCAAGUCCAGGGAGAGCUCAGCCAGGAGUCCAGGAAUUCAGCCAGGCGUCAGUGGUGUCGGAGCGGGACUACGAGAGCCUGGUGAUGAUGAGGAUGCGCCAGGCGGCCGAGAGGCAGCAGCUCAUCCAGCAGCUCCAGCGGGAAG